GAGGGUGUAGCUCAGUGGUAGAGUGUGUGCUUAGCAAGCACUAGGUCCUGGGUUCAAUCCCCAGUACCCCA
rnacentral:tRNA from 1 species